rnacentral:lncRNA from 8 species
UUACUUUCUAACCUAACCCCAGCUUCAUGUCCACAGCCCGGCUCAACCCUAGUCUCAACCCUAACCCUAGCUUCAUGUCCACAUCCCAGUUCAACCAUAACCCUAGCUUCAUGUCCACAUCCCAGUUCAACCAUAACCCUAGCCUCAACUACAACUACAACCCUAAUCCACAACCAUAACCCUAGGGUUAUGUCCAGAUCCCAGUUCAACCAUAACCCUAGGGUUAUGUCCAGAUCCCAGUUCAACCAUAACCCUAGGGUUAUGUCCACAUCCCAGUUCAACCAUAACCCUAGGGUUAUGUCCAGAUCCCAGUUCAACCAUAACCCUAGGGUUAUGUCCAGAUCCCAGUUCAACCAUAACCCUAGGGUUAUGUCCAGAUCCCAGUUCAACCAUAACCCUAGGGUUAUGUCCAGAUCCCAGUUCAACCGUAACCUCUGUUCUACACAUGAACAAAUGAGACAUUAGUAAAGAUAAAUGUUUUGCAUCUAAUAUUGUGUACAUGUGUAGAUAGUGUUGAACGGUUCUCUGGACUAUGAGAAGGCCAGCAUGGUGAGUGUUCGUCUGGGCCUGGUCACCUCAUCAGGCAGUGUAGAGCAGACCUUCCAUAUCAGCGUGGUGGAUGAGAACAACACGCCACAGUGUGAACCUCUGUUCCAGCUGCCUGGAGUUGAGGUUCAUGUCCCAGAGAACCUUCCUGUUCCUGUGACCCUCUACACUGUCCUGGCCUCCGACGCAGACCGCAAUGACACACUCUCUUUCUCUAUCAGUCAGGUCUUGCCCAACUCCUCCAAAGGACAGUUCCACGUCAGUGCAGGCGGCAGCAUCAUCUCAAGCCAACCAUUUGAUUACCACACAGGGCCAAGGGUGAGGGUGUGA